rnacentral:rRNA from 1 species
GACGAACGCUGGCGGCGUGCUUAACACAUGCAAGUCGAGCGGUAAGGCCCUUUCGGGGGUACGACGAGCGGCGAACGGGUGAGUAACACGUGGGUGACCUGCCCUUACGCUCUGGGAUAAGCCUGGGAAACUGGGUCUAAUACCGGAUAUGACUCCAUGACGCAUGUUGUGGGGUGGAAAGCCUUGUGCGGCUAGGGAUGGGCCCGCGGCCUAUCAGCUUGUUGGUGGGGUGAUGGCCACCAAGGCGACGACGGGUAGCCGGCCUGAGAGGGCGACCGGCCACACUGGGAC